UAAAAUCCUAAAUGCCUUUUUAUUAUUAAGGAAAAUGUAUGACCACUUCUUUUGAAUAAAUAUGCAUAUACACAUUAUUUUGAAUGAACAUACAAACAAACAAACUAGAAAGAAGAAAACAAAGAGAAAAGUACAAAUUUUCAAACUUCAUAGAAAUGCUGAAUGUGUACAUGAAACCAUAAGUAAACAUACUUGCCUCUACUGUGUACUGGCUUAAAAUGUAAUGUUUCAAUAGAACAUUUGAAACAUAUUUAUAUGGUAGAUAUUACAUGUGGAGUGAUCAAAAAUGUGUGCUACACUAGCACAAUAAACUAAAACAAGAGAAAGUGCAUUAAACAAAAAAAAGAAUUAAAGCAAGCAGCAUAUGGAUGGAUCAUUAAAGUGUCAAACAAUUGUAAAAUUAAAUACAUGAUAUGUUUAAAAUAUAAAAUUUGAUGGGGGAAAAAAAAUAAAAAAGAGAAAAAAUAAAAUUCCUACUGAUCCCAGUACCAUGAGUACUUAUAAAUAAAGACAGUGUGAGAUUGGUGUGAAAUGCAAUGCAACAAAUAUAGUAAAAAACAAUUCUAAAGCUAAAUGUAUGGUAUGUUUCCUAUAUAUAUUAUGGUUGUAACAGAGCACAGUAAGUCAUCAUUUAGGAGGAUGCAUAAUGACAUUUUAAAAACAGUUAAAAGUUUGCUUGAAUGGAAAUGCAGAAAAAAAAAAUAAAUAAAAAAAAAAAUGCUGAAGGAUUGUUUUUUGUCCCUUUCUUACUUAUGUAGGGAGCGUCCACUUGUGGCCUUCAGCUCCAAUUUUGUGCCUGUUGAAAGCCUGCAAAAGAAUGAUGGGAACUGUAGUACAAUAUCUGGGGGGGCAGUUCUAUACCUUUGUUCUUUGCAAUCUAUUAGGAAAUAUGUUGACGCAUAUGUGCUCCUCAUUAUUUGCCCCCACCAGUGCAGAUAUUCAACCCCUUAGGUCCAAACUUCUGGAAUAAAAGUGAAUCAUAACAUGUCACACAUGUCAUGUGUCCUUAAAGGGAAACUCCAGUGCCAGGAAAACAAUCUCCUCCUCCUCCUCACCUCUUCAUUGGGAUGACGUUGUUAUGGGGCCCAAAGUGUUACUUUAACUCCUUAAAGGGACACUCCAGGCACCCAGACCACUUCUGCCCAUUGGAGUGGUCUGGGUGUCAACUGCAUCCAGUCCAAAGCUUCCUCAAAAAGCUUAGGACUGAUGUGGGGUAUGAAGGGCUGAGCUAACACAUGCCAUUUGAAAUAUUUUGGACAAAUUGUUUAACCCCUCUAAGAAAGACACCAUUGAGAUGUAAUUAUGGUGGUUGGAGUGCUCUUUUAACACAGUGAAUAAGUAAGUACACUACCUUUUGUACAUUCUAUUUUGAAUGCCUUAGUAGAGAAUAUUUAUUAAUGAG